rnacentral:rRNA from 1 species
GCUGGUGACCAUGCCGGAGGGGGUACACCCGUUCCCAUCCCGAACACGGUAGUUAAGCCCUCCAGGGCCGACGGUACUUCCGGGGCAACCCGGCGGAAGAAUAGGUCGUCGCCAGCU